AUUAUAAUGCCUGCGUCCCAAUGUGCAUACUAUCCAUCCUAAAUUCUAUGUGAUAUUAGUAAUUUUCAAUACUAUUUAGGGCAGAUAGGGUGGAUAGUAUGCACAUUGGGACGCAGGGAAUGAAUCAUUCUUUGGAAAUCUCUUCAGUGAAUCGAUCAAACGGCUCGGCAACCGGUUUGAAUCGUUUUCGCGAUUCAGCGUGAUUCAACUCGGACGGUUCACUCAAUCUUUUUGAAGCGGUUUGUCAGUCGGCAAACGUGAUAGGGAACUUCAAGAAGGAUAAAAACGCAUAUUGAACUUCUAUACAGUCUGCUUGAAAGCAAACCUGCAAGUUCUUGUUGUUUUUCCAGCGAUGAAGAUUCAUUAUGACCAACACGCGCACGUGCGUCCCGAGAACCCCUCUACUGCAGGUAAUACUAGACAGGACAGAUGAGGUCAACAUGUGUUGGUUCAUCAGCAGCAUAACAUUACAGUGUGCCAGAACACUGACACCACACGGAUAA
rnacentral:lncRNA from 1 species